AGAAUGUUGAAAGAUCUCUUUCUGUUUGCCAGUGGAUUGUUUGUGAACGGAGAGAAAGGCAGGCAAACGUAUUAACUAGAUUUAAUCAUUAGUGAAGGAUGCAGGAAGUCAUGUGAGUAGGAGAUGGAAUGCCAUGACUUCUCCACCUAAACAAGGUUCACAGUGGCAUUUCAAUGACCUUACUUCUUGACCCUGGCUGCUCUUUAGAAUGCUGUGGGAGUGAACUUUUGAAAAAGUGAACUUUUUGAAAAACCCUACUCCAGGCCAAUUAGAUCGGAAUCUUCAGGGGUGGGUGGAACCUGGGCUGACACCCUGGGCAGCCAGCUUAAGCACCAUUGCUCUGUGACAUAGGACACCUGCUAUUGUUGAUGUCACCAUCAACAUGUGAAGGGUUCGUGUUUGUGAAGACCCUUGGAGGCCAGUCUCUGAAGGGAACAAAUGUUCGAGGGCUUGCAAAGUGACCCGGAGCCGGCCGUCCACAGCCAUGUCGCACUUCUUCUACUUGACUCCAGAGAUCCCCCUGCCCUUCAGCCCCCUGACUUCUCAGGAGUUCGAGCUGAUCAGACGCAAGGCCGGAGCAUCUUGGCAGAGUGAAACAAGAUGGUCAGCCUCUUCUCCAACGACGUACACGGGCAGUUACCGGAGAAAAGCACUGGAGGAACCCGCAGGCAGCCGAUUUGCUUCAGAAGCAGCACAACACUGGCCUGAGUGUCCCCAGAUAUCAUCGCCAAACGGCUCCGCCUGCACCCCCACACUCUGCAGGGCUGGUCCCCAAGACACGGCAGGUCUUAGAGGACUGACCCCCCAUCUAACCAGUUCCGGUAACAAGUCGCUGGAUGUCAGGCACAGAGUGGCACACCAAAUUCUGUGGGGUGAUUUUUCUCCAGUGCCUCCAAAUCAUGGAAGAUCCCAUGGGAGAACGAAGAAGCCAGCCUAUGAGAACCCGAUGAAGCCCAGUCGGCAGAGGACAGCCUUCCCGAGGCGUCCUCCUGUGCCCUCUGCAAGCAAGGCUGGCUCGUCUGAAGACUCAGAUGCUGAUCAAUACUACGUUUACAGUCUGGGAGGACCAUUAUAGGCACUUAGCUGAGUCGGUAACAAAGCCGCGAAGCUGCAGGUCCGCGGUCCGCCUAAUCAUCGGCUUGGAGGUAUGAGAGGGCCUUGGAGCACGUGGACCUUGGCUGGUGGCUUUCUUGGACCCUUCCCUAGGCUUCAGAUGCCUUCCUCCCUCAUUUUUUCUCCCUUCUUAAUUGGAAGAGGGGACAAAAGAGGGGACAUACCGUUACCAUCAUUAUUAAAUUUUCCUUUAAAACAAAUACGUGGCACUCCGCUUUUCUGCAAGAACCACAGAAACGGUGUUGGGGGCCCGACGGCUGCGGGCUCCAGCGUCAAAAAGCCCGUUCUUCAAUCUGGGAGCCCAGGAGGAGUUCAGGGCCGCGAGAAAAGCGCACUGGUAUCCAGGGCAGGGAAACCGAAGCGCGGCCGCCUUCUGCCGCCAAGUUGUCCACCAAGAGAGGAGAGAGGCGCCACUGCCGAGAAGCACACUGGCCGUGUGCGCAGGAGCGAGGGCCAAGGCCUGGAGACCCUACGCGCAGGAAGGGAAGGACC